rnacentral:rRNA from 1 species
UGGGGAAUAUUGGACAAUGGGCGCAAGCCUGAUCCAGCCAUGCCGCGUGUGUGAAGAAGGCCUUUUGGUUGUAAAGCACUUUAAGCGAGGAGGAGGCUACUUGGAUUAAUACUCUAGGAUAGUGGACGUUACUCGCAGAAUAAGCACCGGCUAACUCUGUGCCAGCAGCCGCGGUAAUACAGAGGGUGCGAGCGUUAAUCGGAUUUACUGGGCGUAAAGCGUGCGUAGGCGGCUUUUUAAGUCGGAUGUGAAAUCCCUGAGCUUAACUUAGGAAUUGCAUUCGAUACUGGGAAGCUAGAGUAUGGGAGAGGAUGAUAGAAUUCCAGGUGUAGCGGAGAAAUGCGUAGAGAUCUGGAGGAAUACCGAUGGCGAAGGCAGCCAUCUGGCCUAAUACUGACGCUGAGGUACGAAAGCAUGGGGAGCAAACAGG